AUGCCUAAUGGUUGCUACUCGGCUAGCUCCGCUUACAAGGCCCAAUUCCUGGCCUCUUUACCAUGCUCCUUCGGGCAAAUUGUCUGGAAAACUAGGGCUCCCCCCAAAUGUCGAUUCUUCGCCUGGCUUGCCGUCCAGAAUCGCCUCUGGACCGCUGACCGUCUUGCGAAACGCGGGUGGCCACACCAACCUACUUGUCAGCUAUGUAGAUGCGCCCCUGAGACGGCGCGACAUAUCCUUUUUGAAUGUCGCUUUUCUAGGAGGAUCUGGACGGCUGUAGCUUCCUGGCUCUCUUGCCCGGACCUUCUCCUUUGCUUAGGGUCUGGACGCCCUAAGGUGGUGGAUUACUGGCUCGCCAUCGCCAAGACUCCAACCUCUUCUCCCAAAGGUUUACGGACUGCCAUCAUGCUUGUCGCUUGGGAGAUUUGGAAGGAAAGGAAUGAGAGAGUCUUCAACAAUAAAUCUUCCUUGCCAUUGGUCAUCAUGCACAAGAUCAGAGAGGAAGGAAAGGAUUGGAUUUUAGCCGGUGCUAAGAACCUGGCGGAGCUUGUGGGCUGA
rnacentral:rRNA from 1 species